rnacentral:rRNA from 1 species
GUAAAAGUCGUAACAAGGUUUCCGUAGGUGAACCUGCGGAAGGAUCAUUACCAAGAUGUGGGGCGGAAUGGGUGGCGCUCUAGGGUAGUUCCGGGGACCACUCAUCCGCCUUUCUAUUUCUCAUCCACUGCGUACGCAAACAGUCGUUGCCUUGACUGGCAUAAACCCGUCAGGGGGCCUAAACUCGAUGAACUGGGUGUAGUCUGAGCUAAACAUAAUAACUAAAACUUUCAACAACGGAUCUCUUGGUUCUGGCAUCGAUGAAGAACGCAGCGAAAUGCGAUAAGUAAUGUGAAUUGCAGAAUUCAGUGAAUCAUCGAAUCUUUGAACGCACAUUGCGCCCCUUGGAAAUUCCGGGGGGCAUACCUGUUCGAGCGUCAUGAAUACCUUCCAAGCUUGGCUUGAUGUUGGGCGUUCGUCCUCCAGGACGUGCCCGAAAUGCAGUGGCAGUGCGGGGCAGUUUCCAGUGCAAUAAAUAUGUUUUCACUGCGCAAGUUCCCCCGGCAUCGGCCAGACAACCUUGAAUGUUUUUUACUGGUUGACCUCGGAUCAGGUAGGAAUACCCGCUGAACUUAAGCAUAUCAAUAAGCG